AACACCAAGUUUAGACAAAACACUCUCUAUUUCCUACCGAAGACAGGGAACCCUCUCCUUGCAAAACAGAAAAGUUAGAACUCAGCGACCAACAACGAAUACCCUAGAGCAAAGGAAGAAAGGUCUCAAACCCCAAAGCCAGCUAGAACCCAAAGGAGCAUCCAAGGCACACCACCAAGCUUCUGUGGAAGUCUUCCAUGGGAUCAUCAAAUAUUUCACCGCAACUUCCUUUCCGCCACGAAACAUUUCAACACCAUGUUAUAUAUUUAGACAACGUCCCCAAGUUGAAUUGGGUGGCCAGAACAGUCCUUGUCGCACUCUUGGUUUUCUCCAUAGUGAUCUUCAAUUGCUCUUUCUUUUCCGGAGGGCAUAAGAUUAUCCAAUUUUGUAAAAGCCCACAUAUCCUGUGGAUCCAUCAUCUCCAUGUUUCUCCAACCUAUUCUACGAAAGCAUAACUCAUUCAAGAGUGAAAGGGUGUAGUCCCUCAAGUAUUUUGGUGAUUAUUGACAAUAUAAGAUAAUUGUGACUAAUGCCAUAGAUAAAUUUGAGUUAGGUCACAAUGAUGGAGAUUGGUUUGGUCAAUGUACGGUUCUGAUGCCCCUGCUUAUUGAUUUUCAUUGCAGUUUUUUAAAGGAUGAAAGAAAAAGGUUCAGGAUGCACUAGUUUGACAUUUAUAUUAGUUUAGGACCUGAUUUUUUCUUUAACUAUACUAUUAAAGGGGUAUGAGCUAUUAGCUUGAUCUAGAUAAGUGUAACAAGUUUAGUAUAGUGCACACUAGUUGUAUUUAGCUUUAG
rnacentral:misc_RNA from 1 species